CAAUAGCGUAUAUUAAAGUUGUUGCAGUUAAAAAGCUCGUAGUUGGACCUUGGACCUGGACAGGCGGUCCGCCUCACGGCGAGUAUUGUCUUGCUGGGUCUUUCCUCUUGGUGAUCUGUUGUUUCGGCAGCAGGGAACCAGGACCUUUACUUUGAAAAAAUUAGAGUGUUCAAAGCAGGCUCGACGCCGGAAUAUAUUAGCAUGGAAUAAUAAAAUAGGACGUGCGGUUCUAUUUUGUUGGUUUUUGGAAUCGUCGUAAUGAUUAAUAGGGACAGUCGGGGGCAUUAGUACUCACAUGCUAGAGGUGAAAUUCUUGGAUUUUGUGAAGACUAACUUCUGCGAAAGCAUUUGCCAAGGAUGUUUUCAUUAA
rnacentral:rRNA from 1 species